rnacentral:rRNA from 1 species
GACGAACGCUGGCGGCGUGCUUAACACAUGCAAGUCGAACGGAGUGACGAGCGAGUGAGUAACAAGCGGGUGACCUGCCCUGCACUUAGGGAUAGGCAAGGGAAACAGGGUCUAAUAACGGCUAGUGUGGGAUGGAGGCGGGUCAUAUCAGAUUGUUGGUGGGGUAGUGGCUUACCUAGGCGACGACGGGUAGCCGGACUGAGAGGGCGACCGGCCACAUUGGGCCUGCGGUGCCUCCCGUGGUCCUACGUGAGGCAGCGGUGGGGAUUAUUGCACACUGGGGCAAUCCCUGAAUCAGCGACGCCGCGUGCUGAAUGUCGGCCUUCCGGUUCUAAACCGCUUUCAGCCAUUACUCGGUAGUGGCAUAAAAAGCACCGGCUAACUACGUGCCAGCAGCCGCGGUAAUAC